rnacentral:rRNA from 1 species
AAAUUGAAGAGUUUGAUCAUGGCUCAGAUUGAACGCUGGCGGCAGGCUUAACACAUGCAAGUCGGGCGGUAGCACAGAAGAGCUUGCUCUUUGGGUGACGAGCGGCGGACGGGUGAGUAAUGUCUGGGAAACUGCCUGAUGGAGGGGGAUAACUACUGGAAACGGUAGCUAAUACCGCAUAACCUCGCAAGAGCAAAGAGGGGGACCUUCGGGCCUCUCGCCAUCAGAUGUGCCCAGAUGGGAUUAGCUAGUAGGUGAGGUAAUGGCUCACCUAGGCGACGAUCCCUAGCUGGUCUGAGAGGAUGACCAGCCACACUGGAACUGAGACACGGUCCAGACUCCUACGGGAGGCAGCAGUGGGGAAUAUUGCACAAUGGGCGCAAGCCUGAUGCAGCCAUGCCGCGUGUGUGAAGAAGGCCUUCGGGUUGUAAAGCACUUUCAGCGGGGAGGAAGGCGGUAAGGUUAAUAACCUUAUCGAUUGACGUUACCCGCAGAAGAAGCACCGGCUAACUCCGUGCCAGCAGCCGCGGUAAUACGGAGGGUGCAAGCGUUAAUCGGAAUGACUGGGCGUAAAGCGCACGCAGGCGGUCUGUUAAGUUGGAUGUGAAAUCCCCGGGCUUAACCUGGGAACUGCAUUCAAAACUGACAGGCUAGAGUCUUGUAGAGGGGGGUAGAAUUCCAGGUGUAGCGGUGAAAUGCGUAGAGAUCUGGAGGAAUACCGGUGGCGAAGGCGGCCCCCUGGACAAAGACUGACGCUCAGGUGCGAAAGCGUGGGGAGCAAACAGGAUUAGAUACCCUGGUAGUCCACGCUGUAAACGAUGUCGAUUUGGAGGUUGUGCCCUUGAGGCGUGGCUUCCGGAGCUAACGCGUUAAAUCGACCGCCUGGGGAGUACGGCCGCAAGGUUAAAACUCAAAUGAAUUGACGGGGGCCCGCACAAGCGGUGGAGCAUGUGGUUUAAUUCGAUGCAACGCGAAGAACCUUACCUACUCUUGACAUCCAGAGAAUUUGCUAGAGAUAGCUUAGUGCCUUCGGGAACUCUGAGACAGGUGCUGCAUGGCUGUCGUCAGCUCGUGUUGUGAAAUGUUGGGUUAAGUCCCGCAACGAGCGCAACCCUUAUCCUUUGUUGCCAGCGAUUCGGUCGGGAACUCAAAGGAGACUGCCGGUGAUAAACCGGAGGAAGGUGGGGAUGACGUCAAGUCAUCAUGGCCCUUACGAGUAGGGCUACACACGUGCUACAAUGGCGUAUACAAAGAGAAGCGACCUCGCGAGAGCAAGCGGACCUCAUAAAGUACGUCGUAGUCCGGAUUGGAGUCUGCAACUCGACUCCAUGAAGUCGGAAUCGCUAGUAAUCGUAGAUCAGAAUGCUACGGUGAAUACGUUCCCGGGCCUUGUACACACCGCCCGUCACACCAUGGGAGUGGGUUGCAAAAGAAGUAGGUAGCUUAACCUUCGGGAGGGCGCUUACCACUUUGUGAUUCAUGACUGGGGUGAAGUCGUAACAAGGUAACCGUAGGGGAACCUGCGGUUGGAUCACCUCCUUACCAAGAAG